UGCAACUCGACUACAUGAAGCUGGAAUCGCUAGUAAUCGCGAAUCAGAAUGUCGCGGUGAAUACGUUCCCGGGUCUUGUACACACCGCCCGUCACACCAUGGGAGUUGGUAACGCCCGAAGCCAGUGACCUAACCGAAAGGGAGGAGCUGUCGAAGGCGGGACCGAUAACUGGGGUGAAGUCGUAACAAGGUAAC
rnacentral:rRNA from 1 species